UGAACGACUCUCGGCAACGGAUAUCUCGGCUCUUGCAUUGAUGAAGAACGUAGCGAAAUGCGAUACUUGGUGUGAAUUGCAGAAUCCCGUGAACCAUCGAGUCUUUGAACGCAAGUUGCGCCUGAAGCCAUUAGGCUGAAGGCACGUCUGCCUGGGC
rnacentral:rRNA from 1 species